rnacentral:rRNA from 1 species
AAACAUAGCCUUUAGCCCUACAAGUAUUAAAGGUCCCGCCUGCCCAGUGAUCUAAUUUUUAACGGCCGCGGUAUCCUAACCGUGCAAAGGUAGCGUAAUCAUUUGUCCCCUAAAUAGAGACUUGUAUGAACGGCUAACUGAGGGCCUAACUGUCUCCUAAGGCCAAUCAAUGAAACUGAUCUUCCAGUACAAAAGCUGAAAUAAACACAUAAGACGAGAAGACCCUGUGGAGCUUAAAACCAACACUAUAAACCACCCCAUCUCCCCAGAAAUACAUCACCAUAGUAUAAAGGUUUUUAGUUGGGGCGACUUUGGAACAAAAUAAAACUUCCAUGCUAGGAACAACACUCCUAUUAAGGCCAACAUGCCAAAACAUUAAAUAUAUUGACCCAGCACACCUGAUCAACGGACCAAGUUACCCCAGGGAUAACAGCGCUAUCCUCUUCAAGAGUCCCUAUCGACAAGAGGGUUUACGACCUCGAUGUUGGAUCAGGACACCCCGGUGGUGCAACCGCUACCAAAGGUUCGUUUGUUCAACGAUUAACAGU